GAUGAACGCUGGCGGCGUGCUUAACACAUGCAAGUCGAACGGAAAGGCUCCUGCUUGCAGGGGUACUCGAGUGGCGAACGGGUGAGUAACACGUGGGUGAUCUGCCCUGCACUUCGGGAUAAGCCUGGGAAACUGGGUCUAAUACCGGAUAGGACGAUGGUUUGGAUGCCAUUGUGGAAAGUUUUUCGGUGUGGGAUGAGCUCGCGGCCUAUCAGCUUGUUGGUGGGGUAAUGGCCUACCAGGGCGUCGACGGGUAGCCGGCCUGAGAGGGUGUACGGCCACAUUGGGACUGAGAUACGGCCCAGACUCCUACGGGAGGCAGCAGUGGGGAAUAUUGCACAAUGGGCGCAAGCCUGAUGCAGCGACGCCGCGUGGGGGAUGACGGCCUUCGGGUUGUAAACUCCUUUCGCUAGGGACGAAGCGCAAGUGACGGUACCUGGAGAAGAAGCACCGGCUAACUACGUG
rnacentral:rRNA from 1 species